rnacentral:rRNA from 1 species
GUGGGGAAUCUUCCGCAAUGGACGAAAGUCUGACGGAGCGACGCCGCGUGAGUGAAGAAGGCCUUCGGGUCGUAAAGCUCUGUCAUCAGGGACGAACGGCCGGUGGAGUGGAAAGCCACCGGAUUGACGGUACCUGAGAAGGAAGCCACGGCUAACUACGUGCCAGCAGCCGCGGUAAUACGUAGGUGGCAAGCGUUUUCCGGAAUUAUUGGGCGUAAAGCGCGCGCAGGUGGGAUCUUAAGUCCAUUUUGAAAGUUCGGAGCUCAACUCCGUGAUGGGAUGGAAACUGGGAUUCUUGAGUACCGGAGAGGAAAGCGGAAUUCCCCGUGUAGCGGUGAAAUGCGUAGAUAUGGGGAGGAACACCAGUGGCGAAGGCGGCUUUCUGGACGGUGUCUGACACUGAGGCGCGAAAGCUAGGGGAGCGAACGGGAUUAGAAACCCGAGUAGUCC